rnacentral:tRNA from 1 species
GUGAAUCUAGUUUUAAAAAAAACAUUAGUUUGUGGAACUAAAGACAGUGUGAUUAGUGCACUGAUUCACU